GAUGAACGCUGGCGGCGUGCUUAACACAUGCAAGUCGAGCGGAAAGGCCCAAGCUUGCUUGGGUACUCGAGUGGCGAACGGGUGAGUAACACGUGGGUGAUCUGCCCUGCACUUCGGGAUAAGCCUGGGAAACUGGGUCUAAUACCGGAUAGGACGAUGGUUUGGAUGCCAUUGUGGAAAGUUUUUUCGGUGUGGGAUGAGCUCGCGGCCUAUCAGCUUGUUGGUGGGGUAAUGGCCUACCAAGGCGUCGACGGGUAGCCGGCCUGAGAGGGUGUACGGCCACAUUGGGACUGAGAUACGGCCCAGACUCCUACGGGAGGCAGCAGUGGGGAAUAUUGCACAAUGGGCGCAAGCCUGAUGCAGCGACGCCGCGUGGGGGAUGACGGCCUUCGGGUUGUAAACUCCUUUCGCUAGGGACGAAGCGUUUUGUGACGGUACCUGGAGAAGAAGCACCGGCUAACUACGUG
rnacentral:rRNA from 1 species